GGAAUCUUGGACAAUGGGCGCAAGCCUGAUCCAGCGACGCCGCGUGGGUGACGAAGGCCUUCGGGUUGUAAAGCCCUUUCACCGGGGACGAUGAUGACGGUACCCGGAGAAGAAGCACCGGCUAACUCCGUGCCAGCAGCCGCGGUAAGACGGAGGGUGCUAGCGUUGUUCGGAAUCACUGGGCGUAAAGGGCCCGUAGGCGGCGCGAGAAGUCGGGUGUGAAAGCCCGGAGCUCAACUCCGGAAUUGCACUCGAAACUUUCGUGCUGGAGGUCGGAAGAGGAGAGUGGAAUACCCAGUGUAGAGGUGAAAUUCGUAGAUAUUGGGUGGAACACCAGUGGCGAAAGCGGCUCUCUGGUCCGGACCUGACGCUGAGGCGCGAAAGCGUGGGGAGCAAAC
rnacentral:rRNA from 1 species